rnacentral:lncRNA from 1 species
ACAACCCAGACCAAGCCCGACAGGCCAGGAAAGCUGAGCGCGCGCCGCUGGGGGGACGCACACUUUGGGGGCUGUGUGGGCGCGCGCCGGCACCCCACAAGUUCCCAUUCGUCUGCUCCGCCGAUCCAGUCAGACAAAGACCGCAAGUUCCCCGGUCCACGGCUCCAGAAAGGCGGGGACCAGUCUCCCCGAAUUAGGCCCAUUCCGAGGCCGGGGCGCCCUCACUCGCCGCGGGGGAAUGUCCCCGGGUGUCCCUGCGUGAUCCGGGUCCUCCCGCAACGCUCCCGCUCCUGCUGGCGCCCUGCACCCCGAGGACAGCGACCGGACCCCGGCCCUCCCCGGUCCGGCGGCUGCAGGCCCACGCGCCCCGCGCGCCCCGCGCGUCCCCGCCCCAGCUCCGCCGAGGGGCGCUGCUCGGUGCGCGGUGGACCCUCGGACCCCGCCCUGCGGCCCAGUCCGGGCCCCAAUACCCACCCGGGUCCCGCUGCGGGGCCGGAUUCGCGCUCGGCUCGGAGAGCCGCCACCGUCGCCUCCGCCGCUGCCGCCGCCAGUGAGGCACGGCGGGGCGGGAACGAGCCCGGCCCCUGGCCCGCCCCCAGGCCCGCCCCGGCCCGGCCCUGCCUGUCCCGGCCGGGCUCCCCGCCUGCCUUCUGGUCCAGCCCUGGGCCCAAGCCUCUCGUACCCUGCUGGCCCUCCCUCAGGCCUCGCCGCGCCCCGGCCCCGGGGACUGUGCCCCGACCCGAGCCCCGCGUCCCCGAGGGAAAGGCAGGGCCCCUCGGAUGCUCCGCGUGCGCGCAGGCCCUCCGCUGCCGCCCUCUGCAGGGAGAUUUCUCCUAUUUGGGGCUAGGAAGGGAAGACAAGCUCCGGAAGCCCCCCGGACGUCCCUGCUUCCCAAGGAGUCUCCGUAGGACCCCUGGAGAGGGGCGCCGGAGCCCCCUAGGGCCGGAGAUGGAAAAGCGCGCGCCAUGCGAGGGGUCCCCUGCCUCCGGUGCCCCCAGCCUGCCUGCCACUCCCGGGCGCUUAGCAGUCCGGGGUCCCCAGGAGCCCGGUAGGUCCCUCCGGGACCUCGAGCCGCCCGCUGGGCACAAGCCGACGCCGCUGUCGCUUUACAGAAACUGA